rnacentral:rRNA from 1 species
ACGUAGGUGGCAAGCGUUGUUCGGAAUUAUUGGGCGUAAAGGGCGCGUAGGCGGUUUGUUAAGUCGGUCGUGAAAGCCCGGGGCUCAACCCCGGAGGGUCGACCGAUACUGGCAGACUAGAGUACAGAAGAGGUAGCUGGAAUUCCCGGUGUAGCGGUGAAAUGCGUAGAUAUUGGGAGGAACACCAGUGGCGAAGGCGGCUACCUGGACCGGUUCUGACGCUGAUGCGCGAAAGCCAGGGGAGCGAACGGGA